GCAAGUUGUUAAGUGCGAUCGGUGGAUGCCUUGGCACCAAGAGCCGAUGAAGGACGUUGUAACCUGCGAUAAGCCCUGGGGAGUUGGUAAACGAGCUGUGAUCCGGGGGUGUCCGAAUGGGGAAACCUGGAAUGUCCGGAGUAGUGUCCGGUGACCCUGCCCUGAAUGUAUAGGGGUGUGGGAGGUAACGCGGGGAAGUGAAACAUCUUAGUACCCGUAGGAAGAGAAAACAACCGUGAUUCCGUGAGUAGUGGCGAGCGAAAGUGGAUGAGGCUAAACCGUGUGUGUGUUCAAGCCGGCAGGUGUUGCAUGUGCGGGGUUGUGGGGGCCUUUGGGUUCUGCUGCCGCAGGAUUGGCCAGUGAUAAAUGUUGCGUGAAGGUGAAGCGUCUGGGAAGGCGUACCGGAGUGGGUGAGAGUCCCGUAACUGUAAGCGUGGCACUGGUGAGGGUUACCCCAAGUAGCGUGGAACUCGUGGAAUUUCGCGUGAAUCUGGCGGGACCACCCGUCAAGCCUAAAUACUCCUUGGUGACCGAUAGUGGAUCAGUACCGUGAGGGAAUGGUGAAAAGUACCCCGGGAGGGGAGUGAAAUAGUACCUGAAACCGGUCGCAUACAAGCCGUCAGAGCCUUGUGGGGUGAUGGCGUGCCUUUUGAAGAAUGAGCCUGCGAGUUAGUGAUGCGUGGCGAGGUUAACCUGUGUGGGGGAGUCGUAGCGAAAGCGAGUCCGAUAAGGGCGUGAGUCGCGUGUUCUAGACCCGAAGCGGUGUGAUCUAUCCAUGGCCAGGAUGAAGCGUCGGUAAGACGUCGUGGAGGUCCGAACCCACUUCAGUUGAAAAUGGAGGGGAUGAGCUGUGGAUAGGGGUGAAAGGCCAAUCAAACACCGUGAUAGCUGGUUCUCCCCGAAAUGCAUUUAGGUGCAGCGUUGCGUGGUUCUUGUCGGAGGUAGAGCACUGGAUGGUCUAGGGGGCCUAUCAGCUUACCGAAAUCAGCUAAACUCCGAAUGCCGGCAAGUGGAGCGUAGCAGUGAGACGGCGGGGGAUAAGCUUCGUCGUCGAGAGGGAAACAGCCCAGAUCAUCAGCUAAGGCCCCUAAGUGGUAACUCAGUGGAAAAGGAUGUGGAGUUGCGUAGACAGCCAGGAGGUUGGCUUGGAAGCAGCCAUCCUUGAAAGAGUGCGUAAUAGCUCACUGGUCAAGUGAUUCCGCGCCGACAAUGUAGCGGGGCUUAAGUUAUCCGCCGAAGCUGUGGCAAACCCGUGAGGGUUUGGGUAGGGGAGCGUCCUGUGCGAGGUGAAGCUGCCGGGUGACCGUGUGGUGGAUUGUGCGGGAGUGAGAAUGCAGGCAUGAGUAGCGAAUGACGGGUGGAAAACCCGUCCGCCGAUUAUCCAAGGGUUCCAGGGUCAAGUUAAUCUGCCCUGGGUGAGUCGGGACCUAAGGCGAGGCCGACAGGCGUAGUCGAUGGACAACCAGUUGAUAUUCUGGUACCGGCUUGUCACCGUCCGUGUCGAGGUGUGUGAUGCUAAGCGUGCGAGCCUGCCAUUGUGAUGUCUUUGAUGUUGUGGUGGUGUGGUGAGUGUGUGAACCGAUCAUGUAGUAGGCAAGCUGCGGAGGGACGCAGGGAGGUAGCUCAUCCCCGGCGAUGGUUGUCCGGGGCUAAAUGUGUGGACCGUCUGGUAGGUAAAUCCGCCAGGGUUGUGGUUGAGGCAUGAUGGCGAGCCCACGGAAAGUGGGUGAGUGAGUGAUCCUGUACUGUCGAGAAAAUCUUCGUGAGCGAGGUGGCUGGUCCGCCCGUACCCUAAACCGACACUGGUGGAUAGGUAGAGUAUACCGAGGCGAUCGAGAUCAUCAUGGUGAAGGAACUCGGCAAAAUGCCCCCGUAACUUCGGGAUAAGGGGGACCUGAACUGUCAAGGCCUGUACGGCUGGUAGCGGUGAGGGGCGCAGAGACCAGGGGGAAACGACUGUUUACCAAAAACACAGGUCCGUGCGAAGUCGUAAGACGAUGUAUACGGACUGACUCCUGCCCGGUGCUGGAAGGUUAAGGGGAACUGUUAGCGUUGGCGAAGCGGUGAACUUAAGCCCCAGUAAACGGCGGUGGUAACUAUAACCAUCCUAAGGUAGCGAAAUUCCUUGUCGGGUAAGUUCCGACCU
rnacentral:rRNA from 1 species